CUAGAGCACCUGAUGUCUCUGUAUUCUUCAUAGAGACUUUGCUGCUCUAUCAAAUCAGACAUGCAGAGAAAACUAUCUUGGCACAAAGCCUAAGAAGAUUUAAGGACUCAAUGGACCUCUGCUCCUGAGGGAUGGAGGCAAAGAGGGAAGGAGGGUGCAAGCAUGCCCAGAAGAGACAGAAGUCACACAGAGUGCUCAAGCCUCGCAGGAAGGGCCAAAGUGAACUUUGGCACAGUACUUCUCCAUGAAACAUAUUCUUAUUGCUUGCCUCAUUGCUAUCAUCUGAAUGGGAGGUGAUGCUUCAUUUUCAUUAUUGCAAG